GCUUGGGAAACUGCCCAGUCGUGGGGGACAACCAUUGGAAACGAUGGCUAAUACCGCAUACGCCUACGGGGGAAGAAGGGACCUUCGGGCCGUUUCGUCGAUUGGAGUGUGCCCAAGUGGGAUUAGCUAGUUGGUGAGGUAAAGGCUCACCAAGGCGACGAUCCCUAGCUGGUUUGAGAGGAUGAUCAGCCACACUGGAACUGAGACACGGUCCAGACUCCUACGGGAGGCAGCAGUGGGGAAUAUUGGACAAUGGCGCAAGCCUGAUCCAGCCAUGCCGCGUGAGUGAUGAAGGCCCUA
rnacentral:rRNA from 1 species